GCUGCGCCUAACGAACCGAAAUGAUACCUACCAGUCGUCGCGUGUGUACACGUAUACGCAUAGAUGCGCGGCGGAGAAGUGGUGUGACCGUUACACAGUUAUACACGAACACGUGUCUCCGCGGAGAGCGAGAAGAGAGCAGCAGUCUCGCUUAAUGCUCGGGCAUUAACGUUAAUUGAUGGAUUGUUUUUAAUAUUUACGCUUCGUUUCUCCUUCUACCCUUCUCCAUCUUCUCUCAUAGUGAUGCCUGCUUCUUCCUUUUGCUUGUUCGUUUCCUUCGUAUAACGCUAUCUCUGUCUUUCUUGCGUUACAUAUAGGGCAAACACUGUACGGUCCUAUUCCCUGUAUCUUUUUCUCGGCGUCCACAGUUGACCACGUUUUGUACCAGCACAUAGAUAUUUCAGUAUGUCAUCCGUGUAUAUGUACGCUUGCACACCAUUGUAUACGUGAAAGCAUGUACAUACUUACUCGUAGUAGGUAUAUACGCGUCUAUCGUACGGAGCAGCACGAAGACACGUCGGCGACCAAGAGAGCUUGACGACGACGAGACGACGAUGGCAGCGGCGACGAAGACAACGGAAAAGACGACGAAGACGACUACGACGACGUCGGAACAACACGAUCAUACGCGUAUAUAGCGGGAGAAGAUCGGACGAGAGCGAGAUGGAGAGGGGAAAAAAGGAGAGAAGAGAAGCCUGUGAGAUAGCCGUGCAGCCGACACAUACGGUAGUCGCAGAUCGGCGAGGCAGACAAGGGACUCGAGCAAGCAAAAUGGAGGGCAGGCGAGCGUGGAAUAUAAAAGGAGGAACGUGAAUUCAUAUCUCGUCCGGGGGAUCUCGCUGCUUUGCUGCUGAGAGACUGUUUUCGCGGGACAGAGAGAAAGCGACCAAACGAUGAACAGAGAUACGUUGAUGGAGAAGGGUGAGUAGGGUGAAAGAGAAAGAAGGAUUGAAGAGCCGAGAGGCAAGGAAAGACUGCGAGAAGGAGAAUGAGAGACUCGAGAACAGCCGGCCGUGGUUGCUAUCGUAUCUGUCACGAGUGCAACGAUGACGUUUGAAUAUCCCGCCGAUAGAGAAACAGAGAAGGAACAUGGUUAUCGUAUAAGCGGGACGAAAACGACAAUCUGUUCGUAACGAGUGGAACGAGGAUGGAGGAUACAGUCCGCGUGGAGUAGCCGUCGAAACGUCGAGAGAAUCGACCAAUGAGCGCGCAGCUCCGACCAAUCGGAUGGCGAGUUACGAAUCCGCGCUUGACUACUACGUAGUCUCAUCUCUCACCCGGGCCAGUCGUUCCCGAACCACGUAAGGAGGUAGUCUCUUUUGUCUCGCGGAGCUGUGAAUACACGAUGCGUAUACACAAUGGUCCCUGCUAAGGAUACCGCCGUGUACUCUGCCGUGUAGGCAGAUGAGAAGCAGAGGCGAGCAGUGUCGUAGAGCUGAUGGCUGCGACGUUAUCACCGUAAUGGACGGCUGGCCCACAAAAGUUUAAACAUCAACAGAUAGCACCAAGACAAGCAGACUUUCGUUUGUGAUUUGCAAGAAUCACGGUCGCAAAAAUAUGAGCGUACUGACCGCAAACUAGAACCUGAGCACUCCAUUUGCAAAUAUUCCUCGGGUUCUUGGAAGUUUCCAAAGGCUCUUAAAAAGAAACGACCACAGUAGGGCAAGUCGUUUUGCAAAGUGUUUGUUCUUCGUCCUGGAUUCGAAUCUAAAAGAUUAAAAAAUAGCAAAAUGUGUUUAAGAAUAUUGUUAUAAUAGCCGGUGCCGUUUGGCUCUUCCAUCUGCCUUUUCUAAACACGUCAUCGAUGACUUUGAGAAACUGAAACAGAAAAGAGGAACGAUCUUGAGCAACGACGUGAAAUCGUCGAAUUUAUUUAGCCGCGCUUCCUCUAGAGUUAUUUUCAUCACUUGGAAUUCACUCAAAACGACAAACUCUAAGCUACAAAUACACCCUUUGGCCAAGAUACUAGGAAAUAUCAUCGAUCAAGCGUUUAAUAAACAUUGACUAAGCAAUGACUCAUUCUCUAAUGAUAGUAAAUUUACUCUUUCCUUUUCAUACUUCGCUCAAUGUUACAUUUCCACGGUAAGGUCGAUUCGUACUUUAACUUCCAAGAAAGUAGCAUAAAGUUUAAUCAAACUACUACCAAUAUUAUCUGCAUUUCAGUUUUAUUCAUUAUAUAUCACUACAAUAUGUUCAGAUUAUUAAGUAACAAAUAGAAACAAUUUAAAUUAAUUAGCCAAAUUCUUCGUCGAUACCUGCUUCUAUUGUACCUAUUCUCC